CUACGGGGCGCAGCAGGCGAGAAAACUUUGCAAUGUGCGAAAGCACGACCAGGUUAAUCCGAGUGGUUUUGGGUAAAGAAAGGCUUUUCAUACUAGAAAUACU
rnacentral:rRNA from 1 species